AAACGGCCCCCUGUAAACAUACAAAAUAAGAGUGGUUCAUUAAAAAAAGACAAGAGUCAGAGAAUAUUUCCCAUAGAUGACUGCACAAAAUAUCUGGACAAAAAAGGAGUUUUCUAAUACCUACGUGAUAUACUGUACUAGUAUAUCAAACUUUCAACAACAAAAAAAAGGAGUAACUCCUUUUAAAAAGUAGCUUGCAGGCCUGCAAAAGUACUAGUUGAAUACGUUGUGACAUUUCAUUGCUUGUGAUGGUAUGCUAACUAUUACACCAAUUGCCCAUCAUCAUAAUACCAUGCAUUGAUGGAUAUUUACCUAAUAGGUGGGGUAAAAUAUGAUGAAUUAUCAUCUAUAUAGUGUUCUAGCGAUGCAUUAAAAACACAUAUUUUGAUCUGCAUCGAUUGCCUGUGCAGAAUCCCUAAAAGGUCCGAAAUUCGACGAAUAUCCCAUAGACUCCUGUACAAAAUUUGCUAUUGAAUAUGAGAGCUUGUUUAACAGGCGCGUGCGCGAAUGCAUGAAAUAUAUAACACGUACAACAAUGAAAGCAAUGCGAUGCACAGCAUAGAGCACAACUACGCUCCAUGACGUCAUAAUGAACUACAUGCAAGUCGCAUGUCAACGACCAAAAUAUAAGUGAUAAUGGCAAAAUGUGAUUAGUACUAUGACUUUCAAAAUCAAAUUUCUCCCUCUUUUUCUUGGGGGGAUGGGAUAGAUGGUAAUAAUUAUAGUACAAGAAAUAUUCUACUCGUUAGGGCCAAUAUUCCACUCAUCUGCGAUUUGUGGAAUAUUUUGCCGAACUUUUGGAAUAUUUCUUGUAUUCCAUUCAGAGACAUCCAAUACAAUAUAACUAUUAUACUGCAUUAUGUAUUUUUCAAAUUGCCUGAUACCUGUACAAUAUAUUUCCGCUGCGUUGACGAAGAAAUAUCCUAAAAACAAAUAACCCAAAACUGAAAUUCAGUGUUACUUCCUGGCAUCUUCAGGUUUGAUUUAAGACAAAAAUCAGACAACAAUACAGCAAGCCUUAACUCGGCACCAAGGAAUGACUACGCACUUCCUAAAACGAGGACAAAAUGAUCAUAUGCGAAUGCGCAGCCACAUAAUGACACAAAAUAAUCCUGAAAAAUAAACGUGAAUAUUGAAACUUCCUAUUUGUAUUGAAUUAUUGUGUGAUUGUCAUUUUCACAUUGCACGGAAUCUUCAUUCUCCCAAAAUUUCACAACAGUGAUCUGGAUAUUAUAGAAUUCAGUAAUUUCCUUGAAAGUGAAAACACUAACCAUGUACCUAGAGCAUAAUUACUUUUAACUAUACAUGUAAUUACAGACAUAAUAAUCGUAUGAAGUUAAUUUCUAUAGUUCUCUAAAAAAAAAAUUUAUACUGUAUGAAUUUUUACCUAAAUGAUCCCUCUCGUAAUAGGCUAUACAUCACAUUUUUUUAAAAAGUGAUAAUAAACGAGUUUUAUUCAGAACUAGAUAUACACAUACAUGUAACUGACAAAUGAAAGAACUGUAUUUUCCAUUAUUGAUUAUCAAUAUAAUAAACUAAAUAAAGCCAUGCCACAGAUUGUCAUGAUUAAAUCACUGCUUCUUUACGUAACGACCGAUCCUUAUGAAGGUCUUCCCAAAGCGAUUACAUUAUUU